UCCAUCUCUUUUGUGUUCGAUUUGGAGUUGGUUCUCCGUUCGUGAAGCUCCCUCUCUUCUCUGCUACAGGAGAGCAUCUCUCUCUGAUCAUGAAGCAGCCCCAACCCUAGCCCUUCUUUGGCCAUGGCGGCUGAGUAGGCAGGAGAUUUCCUGUUGAUGAGAGAGGAACAAUAAUGCCAGUCGUUCAGUACUUCAAGCCUUCAAGGACAUAUACAACUGCAAUCUGCAGUAUACUACUUGGCCCUGCCUGCAGUCUGGAAGUGAUUAUCGGCCUGUAUAUUUGCCUAUGGAGGUACUGUAUCUAUCCAUGAAUGCUUCCUCAUGUUUUAAUUAGAUAGCAUUUGUCCAGUGUUUCCUACAAAUUGGUUGUAGGCAUGCAAGCUUGUUGAAGGGCAAAGGUACUCUAAGAAGUUGAAUUAUAAACAGGUCACCAACGUACUUAGAGCUAGUUGUCAACGUCCCCAGCAGAGGGAGCAAAGCACUCAUGAGGCACCUGUAUUUAGAUGCUGUGAAUACUGAUAGUAAAUUAUUUUUUCUUAUAGUCUGGAUCAUCUGCUGCACAUUUGUUAAUUUUUUUGAUGACCAGAUUUAGCUAGGCAAUUUCAUGAGUGGGUGCCUGUACAAAUUGCUCGAGUAUUUUCAGCCACGUCAAUGUCCAGCACCUCUUGUAACAAUAUGGACGGCCACUACUUCUUCGGCUCAAGCGAUCGACCCCUUCACCGGCGAUGAAUCGACGUCCGGAGCUCUACAGAAACUACCAGCAUGACAGUUGCAAAUACGAGGAGCAGUGCAGGUUCGUGCACGCCAACUCUAACCAACAGUGAAGCCCAACCAAUUCAGGUUUUGGUACCGGGAGCAGGCAACAGCCGCAACAUAUUGUUUAGUAGGUAUUACUAUUAACCAUGGAAAGCUAAAAAAUUGUCGGCACAUCAUCUACUCUAUAAGAUUCCCUCGGAAGAAAAUACUUUAUAAGAUGCUAAAUCUAUUAAUCACACUUGAAAUCCUUGGUUUCAGAGGCAUGCUAAUUAAUCAAUUGAGCAACAACUCAAUCCUGGAGGUAGUGCAGGAUUAUGGAAACUAUUUUAUGAUUUCAUAAUUUUUCUUUUCCAUCUUCUUUCAGUUCUUACCCAUUGCUCUGCUUUUGUAUUCUGCUAUCCUCUGUUGUAGUUUUGUGAGUUUAUCUGUUGUUAAUCCACCAACAGAAGGAAUGCAACAGAAAUGUGCAUGUUAAUGCUUACUAGAUACAUGAUUUCUUUCUUCCGUAGACGAUCCAAAUAUGGGCAUGUAUACUUCAAGACUUAAUUCUAACCAGGCGCUAAGGAAAUCCGCUCUGAACUAAGUAGGAAGAACAGAAGCAACAGCGUACAUCACGAAGAUAGGCACAGAUAAAUGGAUGCAUUCCAAUCCUUCUAAUCCAAAUAUAGAAAAGCAUCCUAUUAGAUUGGUCACCACAGGGUGAGUGUUAUCUAACUUACGGAUUUAGAGUGUGAUGCUAAUUAAAUUACACGCACAACCAAAUUAUUUAUUUUUACUUUCAUAAUAGUAAGAUAUGACUUCUGAAGACUUUGUCGUAUGUUCUUGCGUGAUUUUUUUUUUCAUAAAUGGGUCUUCAAUUUUAUCUUCAAACCUUUACAUGCCAUCAAUAGUUUUGGAGAUAUCCAUGCGUUUGGUGCCAAAUUAUCAUUUGGUGUGGCGAUCAUGACCAAUGGUAAUGUUUUAAUAGGCUGGAAACCUCCAUCAUUCGUCUAGCUACAAAUUUCAAACUAAUGUCAUAUAUGCGAGUGUCAGCAUCAGUGGAAACACUGAGACCUAUUCUGUGAGAAAUAUGAAAUAUGUUUUGGAAAACAUGUGUCAUAAGUUAAUCAUGGGAAAAAAUAAAUAAAAAGAUAUCUUCUUUUCACGUUUUAUUUGUUUUGCUUAUAUACCUAAAAAUCAGUGGCAUUUCUUUUUCUAUUUUUUGCUGGGAAGUAGCCAAUGUAUAGUGUUGCUUCACUUACUAUGCUAUAAGCCUUUUUUGGGCAUUAACUCUGCUGCCAAAGGCAUAUGUAAGCCUUAGAUAUAUGCACUAUAGAAGAAAUGUGGAAUGUUCUGUUAAAGCGUCACAACAUCAAUAAGAAUCUUGCACGCUGUUUAGAUGGUCGAUGGAGAGAUCAAGCAGACUUUUCCCACUAACUUUUUGUCGUCUGUGUCCAGUUUGACGCAGGCUGCCUCCGAACAGCAUGUUGCUUAUGUACAAAUCUUGGAAAAAACUAAUCCUGGAAGCAUCCUUUGAAUAUCAGUACAAACCGGUGCAAUUUUUUAGAUUGAUGUUUCCUGUUGCUCAUCAAUAUAGGUUGCUUUGCCUCUGUCUAUGGUGUUUUUUUUUUCUGGAUGGAAUCAGCUUCCUGAAGAACCAUCAUGUACCUUAUCCUAAUAGUUUGUUUAUAUAUGUUAAGAAAUGCAAUUCAAGGGACUCAACCAGCAAAAUGGAGUUUUGAUUGGGUAAUUUAAUUAUAGCCUUGAUUACCAUUGUCAAUUUUGUCGUGUAACAACUAACAAGGUAUUGGCUUGCAUACAUGCAAUUUUUAGCAAACAUUAUUCUUAGGAGGUCUCUAUACUUAUCAUUUAACUGCAACAAAGAAUUCAAGCGGUGCUGAUACAAUUGCUGAUCACUUGAUCUGAUGCUUUGCAGAGUAACCACUGAGAAUAUGAAAGAGAGCUUGCAAUUCCAUUCGUCAAUGUGCAGUGGCAGGGAACACAUUUACAUUUUGUAGCUAACAAUGACAUCAAGUUGUCGCCGCGCUGGCGACAUCAACGGAUGGAGGGUACGCCUGCUGCAGUGGACUUUGUCAUCUCAUCAGCAUGCUCGCCCGUGACAGUACACGGAAGCUUUCUCUUGCUGUUGAAAUCUCUGAAGAAUUUUAUGGAAGGUUUAUUUGUCUCCUUCCACUCCAAAUUUCGAUUUGACAUUUUAUGAAUCUAACUCAAAACCACUUGUUUGUAGAUUGCAUCAAGGGGGAUAUAUUGGUUUUGAGGCACCAUCACUUUUUUGUUUAGGAGUAGUUUUGCUGCUUUGUUGAUAAGCAUACUGAAGGUAUUAUUUCAUUUUCAUGACGAGGGCGGCGGCAGGGGUUGCUGCAGCUCCAGUGUGGCCCUGGAGCUCGUGGUGUGCCUCAUACUGUACCUUAACUACCUGUACGUCUGAUGGAGCAAAAGGGACGGUGUGCAUCGAACGGGUCCGGGUCGAUGAGGAAGAGGACCGGCAGAGGGGGCUCGACAAGGUGUCACAUUCAAAAGGCGCGGAUGCAUGGUUGCGGCAGCGACGCAUGGUUGCGGCAGCAAGGUCGGGGAGGCGUGUGCAGUCUACCUGGGCGCCAUGCAGGAUGGAUACGGCACGGCGGCCGGGCCGACAAGGAGCAUUUUCAUUAUUAUGGAAAAUGAUGGAUAGCAAAAUCCACAAGAUCACCAGCCGAGGGCAUGUUGCUGGCAGCUAUGCCCAUGCCAGUGUUGGCAGCUAUGCCCAUGCCAGUGUUCAGAUUCAAGGGGGUCGCGCGAUGGCGCAAAGAUUGGUAGCCACUGCUUAUGUGUUGCUUCAUCAUCAUGCCUUGGAAGCAUGGGUGGCUACCGCUGCUUGAUGGUUAGCCAUCCAGUACACAAUUAUUUUUUGUUAGCUUGUUUCAAUUGGAAGCAAUAAUUUUUUGCUAUGACUUCUAGAUUGUAAUCCUUCUUGACUUUUGAAUCAGUGAUAAGUGUAAUCCUACUUGACUUUGCAUCA